rfam:Marchantia polymorpha subsp. polymorpha scaffold1772, whole genome shotgun sequence.
GUCAGGAUGGCCGAGUGGUCUAAGGCGCCCGACUCAAGUUCGGGUCUCGUGAGAGGCGUGGGUUCAAAUCCCACUUCUGACA